UAACCUUUAUGGACGCUACGUGUUACAUCGCAUUCCAAGAGGAGGACAUCCGAAGCAUCUAAGAAAGAGGCGCAUACGGGACGUGGCUCACUAGUAUCGGGAUGUGGCGUAGUUCGCGCGCCCAUACCGACCAUCGUAUUAUCUCCGACUAUUAGAUAAAUGCAUUAUAUUUAAUAAAUACUUACUCGUCAAUGUUAGAUUAUUAAUUAUGUAUACGAAAACAUAUGAAUAUUAUGUCUAGCCAAAUACAUGUAAUUGUAUCUCUCAUGAAUGUUAAUAGUAUUCUUUAUGUACCUGCUGUGAAUAAAAUUUUUAUUACUCA